GGUCUGCUGCGGGCAUGUCCAGGCAAGACAAGUCCAGGUUCCCUUAUCUGCACAUAACAUCUGGUGUAAACACUUGUGGGGCUGGUUGGAGAUUCUCCGGGGACCCUUCCGUAUCUGCCUAGGCAUUUUGCUGUCUCCUCCUAAUACGGUAUCUGUACUUAAUUUCUUCUUAUUGCUGAGUAAUAUUCCAUUGUAUGGAUACAUCAAACAUUUUAUUUAUCCAUUCGCCAGGUGAUGGACAUUUGGGUUCUCUCCCACCCAAAGGUGACAGACGUUCUGGUUCUUUCCACCUUUUAACUACUAUUAAUAAUGCUGUUGUAAACAUUUAUGUAUGAGUUUUUGUGCUUGCCUAUGUUUUUAUUUUUCUGGAGUAUAUACUUAUGACUGGAAUUUCUGUGUCAUAUGGUAACUUCAUGCUUAACCCUUUAAGGAGCUGCCAGUUUGUUUUCCAAAGUGGCUGCAUCACUUUACAUUCCCAGCAGCAUCAGAUAAGGGUUUUAAUUUCUUUACAUUUUUCCUAACACUCUUUUUUCUUGAACAAAGAUUUUAUCCUGUGGUGUGAAGUGAUACCACAUGUGGUUUUGAUUUACAUUUUCCUAAUGACUAAUUACAUUAAGCAUCUAUUAAUGUGCUUAUCCAUCUUUAUAUCUUCUUUGCAGAUAUAUCUAUUCAAAAUCUUUGCCCAUUUUUUAAAAUUGGCUUAUCUUGUUAUUUAUUAAUUGCAAUAGUUAUUUAUAUUUCCUAUAUAUGUAAGUCCCUUAUCAGAUACACGCUUUUCAAAUACUUUCUUCUACUUGGCGUCUUACCUUUUCACUUCUUCAUACUGUCUUCUGAGGCACAGCAGUUUUCAAUUUUGAAGUCCAUUGAAUCCAUUUUUCCUUUGGAGUCAUAGCUAAGAAAACACUGGCAAAUGCAGUCACAAAGAUUUAUGCCAGUGUUUUCUUCUGAGGGAUUUAUAGUUUUAGCUUUUACAGUUAACUAUUUUAUUUUGAGUUAAUUAUUAAAUAAGAUAUUUGGUCGAACUUUAUUUAUUUUUUGCUUAUGGAUACCCAGUUGUCCCAGCACCAUUUGUUGAAAAGACUAUUCUUUUCCCAUUUUGUUCUUUUGUUAAGCUUGUAUAAAAUCAAUUGACUGUAAAAGUGCAGGCUUAUUUUUAGAUUGUCAAUUCUUAGCUUGUUUAUGUCUAUUCUUAUGUCAAGGCCCAAUCGAAUUGAAUGGGAAGUUUUUUUCAAUCAUGUUGCAUAUUACCAGUUGUCUUAUGUCAUAAUAAAAAUUAAAUUUAGUGGAAUGUCUGUAACUUCACCUUUUUUGUCACAAAGGAGUCUCUGGCCAGCUUAUACCUUACUUCCUCUAAGACAUGAUCAGACGCCAGGCUUACAAGACACACUUAAUUUCUUUUUUUCUCCAUUCAAGCCUUUAGUCUCUUUUCCAUUGCCUCCCACUAUAGUUACAUUUUCAGUAAGUUUUGGUUACAGGAUCUGCUGACAUAGUCUAAUAUUCAGUGCAGUAUGUUUUACUAACUCAUUAUAAUUCAUAGAACCUUCCAUAGAUGUUUACCAUCUAGGAAGGAGAAGUUUAAGUCUGAGCCACCAGCUUUCCUCAGUGGAAAUCAAGUGAAGUCAUCAUCUUGCAGUUUACAGACCCUCUUUCCUCCUGGUAGCUGGUUCUCUUGGGUAGCACUGUGGCUAAUCCUUUUCUUAGUGCAGAUCUUGCAUUCUCAGAAACCACAGUUCCCUGUAUUGACCUCCUUUUACUGAAACAGAGAUGCACAGCUCUGCUUUCUAUCUCAGUAGAGGAUUCUUGGAAUAAAAGGUUUAACUCAUUCCAAGAAAGUCUUAGGAGUGCAGCACUUCAAAAUCAGGUAACGUUCAGGCAAUUUAUCAGAGACACAUAGUAGAUUAGUAUUUUGACUUUCAAAAUUUCAGAGCCAAGUUGUGUGCUAUAGAGAAGCAUUGUGGCAUAACAUAGAGAUGGGAUGGUCUUAACUUCUCCAUACAAACAAGCUUGGAGUAAGGUAAAGGAGAAAUUGCAUUUGUGUCUUAACACUCAAAAC
rnacentral:lncRNA from 1 species